UGGGGAAUUUUGCGCAAUGGGGGAAACCCUGACGCAGCAACGCCGCGUGGAGGAUGAAGCCCCUUGGGGCGUAAACUCCUUUCGAUCGGGACGAUUAUGACGGUACCGGAUGAAGAAGUACCGGCUAACUCUGUGCCAGCAGCCGCGGUAAUACAGAGGGUGCGAGCGUUGUUCGGAAUUAUUGGGCGUAAAGGGCGCGUAGGCGGUGCGGUAAGUCACCUGUGAAACCUCUGGGCUUAACUCAGAGCCUGCAGGCGAAACUACCGUGCUGGAGUGUGGGAGAGGUGCGUGGAAUUCCCGGUGUAGCGGUGGAAUGCGUAGAUAUCGGGAGGAACACCUGUGGCGAAAGCGGCGCACUGGACCACAACUGACGCUGAGGCGCGAAAGCAUGGGGAGCGAAC
rnacentral:rRNA from 1 species